GCUACAGGCGAUAGCACGUUGCAUGCACCAGUUUCCAAUGAAUCACUGAAAUUAAGCAACGCUGUGCGUGGUUGGUAAUCGAACCAUGUGGGCUGCUGGCU
rnacentral:rRNA from 1 species